rnacentral:misc_RNA from 1 species
AACGCACAUUGCGCCCGCCAGCAUUCUGGCGGGCAUGCCUGUUCGAGCGUCAUUUCAACCCUCGGGCCCGAUUCUUCGGAAGACGGCCCGGCGUUGGGGACCGGCAGACUGCCCCGCGCCUCCGGGCGUGGGACGCCGCCCCCGAAAUUCAGUGGCGGCCCUUCGAGGCGACCUCUGCGUAGUAACUUACCUCGCACUGGGAAAAUCGAAGCGGCCACGCCGUAAAACACCCAACUAUUUUAAGGUUGACCUCGAAUCAGGUAGGACUACCCGCUGAACUUAA